CUUUCAGAGAGAUGGUUUUGGUUUAAGAAGGACUAACUGGAGAGUGCCCUGUGAUAGAAUGUGUCGCUUUCUGUGGCUUCAUCGCUAGAACGUUCGUCAGGUGUCCUGCGGGUGUUCUCAAAACAUUGUGUUUGAAAGAUCCCUCCAGGUGUUGUUAUGCUCUUUGUUCCAAACGUCUCCCCACUUCCCUGGAUGGUUCUGUGUGCUUCUGGGCGCUUCCUUCCUGCCCCGCGCUCCCCCGGUAUCAGGCUGAGGUGGCUACAACCUGGGCUGUGCAAGAGAGGGCCGGCGACAGCCUGGGAGAGGUUGACGGGAGCCAGAGGGAAGAGUGUGGACUUUGUCUUGAGGGCCUGGGGAGCCUUGGCAGGGCAUGGCCAGGAUGGAGCCAACCGGUGUGCCAGACAGACACAACCCAGGCUGGCUUGGGUGCUACGGGGGCUUCGAGGAGGCUCUGGAUCCCCAGAGAGCUGCUUUUGAGCUGGGUCUCCACGGACGGAUCAGAAAUUGGUCAGCCUGGGAGGAUGAGCCAGGGGCAUGCACAGUGGAGCAGAGGCUGGGCGAGGACGUGGUGGGAGGCUUUCAGGGCCCCUUCGUGGGCCACCCUGCCUGUUGACGAGCAGGCUGGCAGGGUGAAGACUCCUGAAGUGGCAGCUGGAAAAGGGCAUGAGCAAGGUGCUCGUGUCUUCGGGGCCCUGGGGCCCAUCGGGCCCUCCUCGCCGGGGCUCGCCCUUGGGGGCCUGGCCGUCGGCGAGCACCGGCUCAGCAACAAGCUGCUGGCCUGGAGUGGCGUCCUCGAGUGGCAGGAGAAGCGCAGACCCUACUCGGAUUCCACCGCGAAGCUGAAGCGGGCACUCCCCUGCCAGGCCUACGUCAACCAGGGCGAGAACCUGGAGACCGACCAGUGGCCGCAGAAGCUGAUCAUGCAGCUGAUCCCACAGCAGCUGCUGACCACCCUGGGCCCCCUGUUCCGCAACUCCCAGCUGGCGCAGUUCCACUUCACCAACAGAGACUGCGACUCUCUGAAGGGGCUCUGCCGCGUCAUGGGCAACGGCUUCGCGGGCUGCAUGCUCUUCCCCCACAUCUCGCCCUGCGAGGUGCGCGUGCUCAUGCUCCUGUACUCGUCCAAGAAGAAGAUCUUCAUGGGCCUCAUCCCCUACGACCAGAGCGGCUUCGUCAACGCCAUCCGGCAGGUCAUUACCACCCGCAAACAGGCAGUGGGACCCGGGGGCGUGGCGGGGCCCGUCCAGAUCGUCAACAACAAGUUCCUGGCCUGGAGUGGAGUCAUGGAGUGGCAAGAGCCCAGGCCUGAGCCCAACAGCCGGUCUAAGAGGUGGCUGCCGUCGCACGUCUACGUGAACCAAGGGGAGAUCCUGCGGACCGAGCAGUGGCCCCGGAAGCUGUACAUGCAGCUCAUCCCGCAGCAGCUGCUGACCACGCUGGUGCCCCUCUUCCGGAACUCCCGCUUGGUGCAGUUCCACUUCACCAAGGACCUGGAGACACUGAAGAGCCUGUGCCGCAUCAUGGACAACGGCUUCGCGGGCUGUGUGCACUUCUCCUACAAGGCCUCGUGUGAGGUGCGCGUGCUCAUGCUCCUGUACUCCUCGGAGAAGAAGAUCUUCAUCGGCCUCAUCCCCCACGACCAGGGCAACUUCGUCAACGGCAUCCGGCGCGUCAUCGCCAAUCAGCAGCAGGUCCUGCAGCGGAACCUGGAGCAGGAGCAGCAGCAGCGAGGGAUGGGGGGGUAGCGGCCACCCCCCCGGGCUGGGCCUCUCCAGGAGUCACAGAUGAGGCCCCCGCCAAGACCGGUCAGUGCUUCUGAGCAGGGGCCCCUGGGGACCACAACUGCCCAGCGAGAUGGAGGACAGCAUCCUGAGAUGUCUCCAAGGACGGUUCCCCCCCCCCCCCGUACGUUUCCCUAUUAAAGUCUUUUAAAAGUC